UGCCAGCAGCCGCGGUAAUACGAAGGGUGCUAGCGUUGUUCGGAAUUACUGGGCGUAAAGGGUCCGUAGGCGGGCUAUUAAGUCAGAGGUGAAAGUUUGCGGCUCAACCGUAAAAUUGCCUUUGAUACUGGUAGUCUUGAAUCAUUAUGAAGUGGUUAGAAUAUGUAGUGUAGCGGUGAAAUGCAUAGAUAUUACAUAGAAUACCAAUUGCGAAGGCAGAUCACUAAUAAUGUAUUGACGCUGAGGGACGAAAGCGUGGGGAGCAAACAGGAUUAGAUA
rnacentral:rRNA from 1 species